rnacentral:rRNA from 1 species
GACGAACGCUGGCGGCGUGCUUAACACAUGCAAGUCGAACGGAAAGGCCCUGCUUGCAGGGUACUCGAGUGGCGAACGGGUGAGUAACACGUGGGUGAUCUGCCCUGCACUUCGGGAUAAGCUUGGGAAACUGGGUCUAAUACCGGAUAGGACCGCACUUUAGUGUGUGUGGUGGAAAGUUUUUUCGGUGUAGGAUGAGCUCGCGGCCUAUCAGCUUGUUGGUGGGGUAAUGGCCUACCAAGGCGGCGACGGGUAGCCGGCCUGAGAGGGUGUACGGCCACAUUGGGACUGAGAUACGGCCCAGACUCCUACGGGGGGCAGCAGGGGGGAAUAUUGCACAAUGGGCGCAAGCCUGAUGCAGCGACGCCGCGUGGGGGAUGAAGGCCUUCGGGUUGUAAACUCCUUUCGCUAGGGACGAAGCUUUUUGUGACGGUACCUAGAUAAGAAGCACCGGCUAACUACGUG